CGCCACAUAGGGGUGGGACUCAACUUGCGUACGUCCCAGCAGCCUUAGCGAAUUUCCAAUUCGCUGAGUGCGCAUGUCGUCGCGUAGCUACGCGCCCCUCAGGAGCUAUAAAUUUGGGUGCUUUGGAGUAGUUCGGUCUUUCCAGCACCCUGAACUUGUGGUCUCUAUUAAUUCACUGAAUAUCCAAGAUAACUUUUUGUGGGGAUAAAGAAGAACCAUAUUGGACUUGCAGAGGACCUGGUUUUAUUUGGGCUCCUUGAAUUAGGGAGACUUGGUAAAUUGGUAAUGGUUACGUUGGGUUUGUGUUGUUUUCUGAUAAUGUUUUUUUGCAUUUGUCUCUUGGUUUUAUCUUUCUGAGACAAAGGGUGCCUACAGUUCAGGCUGGCCUUGAACUCAGCAUCCUCCUGCCUCAGCCUCCCAAGUGCUAUUGGGAAGUAGGAAGA